AUAUAUUACAUAAGAAUAUUAUAGCUAACUUCAAAGUAUAGUACCUCCGUGUACACAUCUUCAAAAAUAUCUAAAUGAGUAUUGCAUCAAUAAUCAUAUAGUCGAAAUACAAGUUGGUUUCGUCAUGUUGCACAUUCAACUGUGGUAUCCAAAAACCUGCAAACAUAAGCACAAUUCAAAUUUUAUUACCCGAACGUAAAUCUAAUAAGAUCCUAAAAGAAUUUUAACAACAUAACUAUUUAACUACUCAUAAGCUAAAAUUAACGAUUAGAAAAUUAAAAUAUGGCUCACUUAAGUGCAAAUAUUAUAUAUUGGUAACUAGUGCAAAGACUAAGUUUAUCAUUCACAAUUUCUAUAUAAGAUAAUUGGGAAUUGAAAGUUCGAAGCUAGUUUGCAAAUACCUAGUUUUAAUGCAGAACAUGGCCAGGAAAUCCAUUAAACAUAUCAAUCGAAACAGCCAAGUAUUGCUAGAAUGAAUCGUUUACAUGAGUUGAAAAGUGUGUAAAAAAUACCUAGUUUUAGUCUCAAGCAGCUCAGUCCAGCUGACCAAAUCUCAUGACCUGAUUCCACAUGUGUGAGAUACAGUCUGAACAAAUAAGAUACUUUAGCAAUCAGAUGAUCAAGGCUUAACUAAAAAGCAUAAACGUAAGCUCAAAUAUUGAUAUAAACAUUGACUUUUGAUGUAAGAGGUUAUGCAUUGACAUUAACAAUGAAUGUAUAC
rnacentral:lncRNA from 1 species